GUCUGUGGCUAUACCACCCUGAACACACCUAAUCCCAUCUGAUCUUGGAAGCUAAGCAGGUUCAGGCCUGAUUAGUACUUGGAUGAGAGAUCUUGGUGGGUUUUAGAUGGCUUCUUCUA
rnacentral:rRNA from 1 species